GUUUUUAUAGUUUAAUUAAAACAUUGGUCUUGUAAAUCAAAAAUAAAUAAGAAAUUUUCUUUAAAAACU
rnacentral:tRNA from 1 species